CCUACGGGUGGCAGCAGUGAGGAAUAUUGGUCAAUGGGCGCUAGCCUGAACCAGCCAAGUCGCGUGAAGGAUGACUGCCCUAUGAGUUGUAAACUUCUUUUAUAUAGGAGUAAAGUUCAGUAUGUAUACUGCUUUGCAUGUACCUUAUGAAUAAGGAUCGGCUAACUCCGUGCCAGCAGCCGCGGUAAUACGGAGGAUUCGAGCGUUAUCCGGAUUUAUUGGGUGUAAAGGGAGCGUAGGCGGGUUGUUAAGUCAGUUGUGAAAGUUUGAGGCUUAACCGUAAAAUUGCAGUUGAUACUGGUAUUCUUGAGUAUAGGAGAGGUAGGUGGAAUUCGUGGUGUAGCGGUGAAAUGCUUAGAGAUCAUGAAGAAUGCUGAUUGCGAAGGCAGCCUGCUGGACUGUAACUGACGCUGAUGCGCGAAAGUGUGGGUAUCAAACAGGAUUAGAUACCCGAGUAGUC
rnacentral:rRNA from 1 species